CAGAAGACGCUAACCUACUCUUGGAACUAUUUAGAUGGUAAAUUCCCAGGCUAGUUUCUGAUGUCUUAUUAGAUGAGACUUUUGGCAUCUUGGGAUAGUCUGAGUGCAUUUUGAAAGUAGCAAGAAUGUAAAAUAACUUGUGGUUGGUGGUGGCUGCAAAUUCUUUGCCACCCAUCUUUUCCAGAGGCAGAAUAUGGGCUGGCUUUAUGCUUUAACCAAUAAAACAUAGUGGAAGUGAUGAUGUUUCCUUUUCUGGCUGAUGUCUGUAAGAAGAUUUGACAACUUCUGCUCCUUCCUCUUGGAAAACAGCAGCCAUGUCCAACUACCUUGAGACCUCCAUUCUCAGAAGACCAGCCUAGCCACACAGAAAGUGAGAGACUAUGUAGAAAGAACUGAGAUAUCAAACAUAUGAAUGAAAGUUUCUUGGGCCUUCCAGCCAACCAAGUUCUUGAGUCUGGCAAAUCCAAGAUCAAGGUGUUGGCAGGUGUGGUUAUCCAGUGAAUGCUGCUUUCUACUUCCAAGAUGGUGACUUCCUCUGAGGGGAGGAAUGCUGUGUUCUCAUGUGGCAGUAGGGGGAAGGCUUAAGGGAACCCUGUGAAGCUUCUUUUAUAAGGACCUUAAUUGCAUUCAUAAGAGAGGGAAACUCAUGGCCUAAUCACCUCUUGAAGAUCCUGCUUCUUAAUACUAUUGCAUUGGCAACACCUAAAUUUUGGAAAGGACACAUUCAAACUAUAACAAACCCACAGUGGAAUUUCAAAUAAAUGUUGGUGACUGUCAGGAUGCUGGUUUGUAAUAUAAUAGUGUUUGAUGUCAAUUUUUUUUUUUGCUGAAAACAUAUUUUCUUCCUGCCAAAAUUUUUCCAUUUCCUGAAAUUCCUCAAAAU
rnacentral:lncRNA from 1 species